CAUGUAGGCGGUUAGGUAAGUCUGAUGUGAAAUCCCGGGGCUCAACCCCGGACGUGCAUUGGAUACUGCUAGACUAGAGUACAGGAGGGGUGAGCGGAAUUCCAGGUGUAGAGGUGAAAUUCGUAGAUAUCUGGAGGAACAACGGAGGCGAAGGCGGCUCACUGGACUGUAACUGACGCUGAGAUGCGAAAGUGUGGGAGCGAACG
rnacentral:rRNA from 1 species